rnacentral:lncRNA from 1 species
AAACAUUUAAAAUUACAAAAAGAACUUCUACCAAAUAUGAUCUUAAUUAUUAAUAUGUAUCCAAAAUAUUUUAAGAUAUUAUUGAACUUCUAAAAUAAUUAUAUGUUACAUGAAGGUUGAUUGUGGAAUGUGGCGGUUGAUGCCUGAAGUUUUUAGAUUUUGGUUUUGUUUUUAUUGAAUAAUGUUUCUCAUUUCAUGAGAACUUAUUUUUUGUUUUAUGAUUUCAUUUAUCUGGUUUUCUUUCUAUCACUAACUAUAUUUAUCUUUCGCUUGAUUUUGAAUAAUCACGUUUGAUGUUUUUUUUUUUUUUUUAAAUCGAUUUUACUUAUGUUUUGGCUAUUAAAAUAUGUACAAAUCAUAUAUUUUAAAUCUGAAGAACCGAUUUCAUUUAUGUUUUAGUUACAAAAUAGGUACAAAUCAGGUAUUAUUAAACCGAAGAACCGAUUGGGACCCGAAUCCGAAAGUACAAUGGGUUAUACCGGUUCUUUGAAGAUUUACUAACCCCGACCCGAACCCGAUAGAACCCGAACCGGUCCCGAACCGAACUUU